rnacentral:tRNA from 1 species
GCGAAAGUGGCGGAACUGGUAGACGCGCUGGAUUUAGGAUCCAGUGGGUAACCGUGGGGGUUCGAGUCCCCCCUUUCGCACCA